rnacentral:rRNA from 1 species
GUCUUUUUUGUUUAAAAUUUAAAGUCUAACCUGCCCAAUGAUUGUUUUAAUGGCUGCGGUAUUUUGACCGUACAAAGGUAGCAUAAUCAUUAGUUUUUUAAUUGAAAACUUGUAUGAAUGGUUGAACGAGAAAAUUACUGUCUCAAUUUAAAUUUAUUAGAAUUUUAUUUUUAAGUUAAAAAGCUUAAAUUUGAGUAAAAGACGAGAAGACCCUAUAGAGUUUUAUAUAUAUCUAAAAUAAUUUUUAAGAAUUUAAUAAUUUAAAAUAUAUAUUUUAUUGGGGUGAUAAAUAAAUUUAAUUAACUUUAUUAUAUUUAAAUCAUUAAUUUAUGAUUAAUUGAUCCAAUUUUUUUGAUUAAAAGAUUAAAUUACCUUAGGGAUAACAGCGUUAUUUUUUUUGAGAGUUCUUAUCGAAAAAAAAGAUUGCGACCUCGAUGUUGGAUUAAAAUUAAUUUUUGGUGUAGAAGCUAAACUAUUAAGUCUGUUCGACUUUUAAUUUUUUACAUGAUCUGAGUUUAAAUCGGUGUGAGCCAGAUUGGUUUCUAUCUUUAUUUAAUUAAAAUAUUUUAGUACGAAAGGACCAAAUAUUUAUAAUAUUUAUUUAAUUUUGAAUAU